rnacentral:misc_RNA from 1 species
AACCCACGAGUAAGAGAGAAACAAUCUGAUGAAGUCGGAAGCAUUUUGUGGUCCAGCUCCCCCAAAAAUUUAUGAUGGUUGUGCCCGUGCUUUCCAUUACUUCCCAGUAUAUCCCUACCAGAUGUGGGAGAUACAAGUGUUCCUGGUCCACUUUUAAUGCCGCACCAUGGUAUAGCAAUGGACACAUUUCGAGACAUGAAGCUUUCAUAAGACUGGACGUUUUUCUCUCUAGAGAGACUCUUUUCUUGGCUAUUGUAGUUCCAAAUGUAGACAUUAGAAUCUUCGCUUGUUGAGAC